AUGAACAGAAAGACUGUGCCAGUUUCCAGCUCCACCAUAAGACGGAGGACACGUGUAGAUGUGGGAAAACGACUUGAACAAAUUAGGGAUGAGAAUGACUAUCUCAGUCUGACUGACAUGGACACAGAUACAGGGCUAAAUGACAGGCAUGAAAAUGACAAUGACAGUGUAGAAUUGUUAGAAGAUUGUCUCAGUUGUGCAAAUGAUACCUCAGGUAUUGAAGCAGGAACAGUCUUUCAUGAAGAGGAAGGUGGCAUGGAGUUUGAGUCAGACUAUACUGAGGGUCUCUUAGCUAGUGGCAGUGAUAGUUCCGAACCUGAAGAUGAGAUCUAUGAGAUGUCCUUAUCUGACAAGAUUGCGGACUGGGCCAGACACUUUGGAAUUUCAUUGGUUGCUCUGACUGCCCUACUAGGCAUCCUUUGCCUCUCCCAUCCUGAUCUUCCAAAGGAUGGCAGGACCCUCCUUAGGACAACAACUAAAUAUUCCAUUCAAGAGAAGGCAGGGGGAAAAUACUACUAUUUUGGCAUCAUCCAUUCACUUAGUGCUACACUCCGCGGGUAUGCACACACGCUAACUGAUGGCUUAACCUUGAGGCUACAAAUAAACAUAGAUGGGCUACCAUUAUUUAAAAGCUCAAGUGUUCAGCUGUGGCCCAUCCUGGGUCUCCUGCUCAGUGUCCCUAUGAAAGAGCCUGUAGUGAUCGCAUUAUACUCUGGAGAAAAAAAACCUUCAUCAGCAAAAGAAUUCCUCGAAGACUUCACCAGAGAAUUAGUUCAUCUGGAAAAGGGUUUCUGUUUCGUGGGAAAGACUUUGACCCUUAAACUUGAUACAGUAAUUUGUGACACACCGGCAAGAGCAUUUGUGAAACACACCAAAAGUCACAAUGCCUACCACGCCUGCGAUAAAUGCACAAACCCUGGUAGACAUGAACAGAGCCGAAUGAGUUUUCCAUGUAAAGAUUAUGCACUAAGGACGGAUGAGUCUUUCAAUGACAGGUUAGAUGAGAUACAUCACCAUGAGGGGCCACAUGCAUUUGAGGGUACUGGGGUUGGCAUGGUGUCACAGUUUCCCCUAGAUUACAUGCACCUUGUGUGCUUAGGUAUCGUUAGGCGCUUGCUCAAUAUGUGGCUUCGUGGUCCUCUGACUGUCCGUGUCCCUGCAACUAUAGUUGAACAAAUGUCCGCUAAAUUGGUAUCCAUGAGGCCUUAUAUUCCGGUAGAGUUUGCCAGAAAGCCGCGAUCUCUUAGAGAAUUGGAUCGCUGGAAGGCUACUGAGCUAAGGCAGUUUCUUUUGUACACUGGACCUGUAAUGCUGGCCAGUUUUCUGGACAAAGACCUGUAUCAGAAUUUUAUGCUUCUCUUCUCUGGUAUCUCCAUCUUAGCAAGCCCAACAUUUUCCUACCUCACUGAUUACGCUGACACUUUACUGAAGUCGUUUGUGCAGCACUUUGCUACACUUUAUGGGAGACACAACGUUGUGUAUAAUGUACACUGCAUAACCCAUCUGGCAGGUGAAGUUCAGCAGCAUGGUCACCUUGACUCCUUCUCUGCCUUCCCAUAUGAAAAUUAUCUGCAGAAGAUAAAAAAACUGGUUAGAAAACCAGAAUAUCCUUUAGCACAGAUCAUUCGUCGUCUGUCAGAAGUAAAAAUUCGGGAGGUUACAUUACCUGGCAGCACUUUAAGACGGCAGCAUUUUGUGGGCCCUAUUGUUGGGGGGAUGGCCAUCAAGGCACAGUAUGGCGAGAUGUCCACUGAGAAGUGGACUCUCAGAACAUCGACUGGUGAUAACAUCUUCAGGCUUGGAAAUGACAUUGUCUGCAUCCAAAAUAUUGUGGAAUGCAUUGGGGGGGGGCAUUUAUGCAAUAUAUAA
rnacentral:lncRNA from 1 species